rnacentral:lncRNA from 10 species
GCCGCGGCUCAUCAAGUCCAUCCCUUCCCGCGCUCCCCGCAGGUUUCCCGCAGACAGUCGCACAGUACCCCUCACUCCACUUAAUUCGCUCCGCGUGCUCUGAAUCACAGAAAGGCAAACUUGCUAACAAAGAGGCGGCCCGCCCGCGUGCGGGGUUCCCGGGCGCGUCCCGCUGGCCAGGUGAGGACGGCGGGCACUGGGCACCGCAGCGGGGCGCGGGGCGGGCUGGAGGCGCGCGGACACUCCCCCGGCCGGCAAGGAAGGGGCGGGCCGAGGCGCGGGCCGUGUGCCGCUGGGUGGCCCUGCGAGCCGCCGCUCUCCGCCUCUCUAGGCUCAGCUUCCAUCACCGCGUGGCGGAGCCCGUGUCCGGGCCAGUGCUGACUUUGAGACUUUUCUGAUGGUGACUCAUGAUAUGCAUGGAAGCAUAAGAAAUGCUCACACGAAACAUUCAGAAAACUAAACUUACCCUUACGGUAUAUGAUGCUGUGAUGGUUAACACUGAGUGUCAACUUGAUUGGAUUGAAGGAUGUGAAGUAUUUUUCCUGGGUGCGUCUGUGAGGGUGUUGCCAAAGGAGAUUAACAUUUGAGUCAGUGGACUGGGGCAGGCAGACCCACCCUCAAUGUGGGUGGGCACCGUCUAAUCAGCAGCCAACAUGGCUAGAAUAAAACAGGCAGAAGAACAUGGAAGGACUUGACUUGCUGAGUCUUCUGGCCUUCAUCUUUCUUCCAUGCUGGAUGCUUCCUGCCCUCGAACAUGAGACUCCAAGUUCUUCAGCUUUUGGACACUUGGACUUACACCAGUAGUUUGCCAGGGGCUUUUGGGCCUUUGGACACAGCCUGAAGUCUGCAAUGUCGGCUUCCCUACUUUUGAGGUUUCGGGACUCGGACUGAUCCACCACUGGCUUCCUUGCUCCUCAACUUGCAGACGACCUAUUGUGGGACUUUACCUUGUGAUCCUGUGAGUCGAUUCUCCUUAAUAAACACCCUUUCAUAUAUACGUAGAUUCUAUUAGUUCUACCCAUCUAGAAAAUCCUAAUACAGAUGCAUGCUGAUAUUUUCUCUACUAUUUUAGCUCACUUUUUUUAGUGCAGGUUACAACCCACUAAAUUUAUUUUAUCACCCAAAUGGGUCACAUUCCAAAGUUUGCAAAACACGAAGCAGGAUUCAGGUGGCAAUUCUUCCCCGUCACCCUAUCUCUGACUCCCACCGCCCCACCCCACCUAGGGUUUCAGUUAAGCCAUAAUCAUUAUGGGAUGAUCCUGCUGAGCAGAGGAGGAACCAAAAUGCCACACUUUCAUGCCUCUUUCAUGGCCCUAAAAAGAAAAUGUGGCCCAGGCUUUCCUAGGCGGCCACCUAGAAGAUGUGUUUCUUUCCCCUCCCUUUUCCUCCACGGCUCCCUGCAGCUACCAUUACCCCUGCAAUGUUUUUCUCUAAUUUAUUAUUUUAAUUAGCUGCUUGGCUGUGUUCAUAAUCAAAACUUUUCCAGCCUCCCAGGAGCUCUGCCAGGCAAUGGGAAGCACUCCGUGACUGGAGAGGCUGCCUCUGCUCCUGAAGCGGAGACCUUGCUCCUUCCCAGGCCGCCAGGAGGGCUCAGCCUACAGGGAAGCUUGGGAGCCCUUAAAGGAGGCAUGGGACCAAGACAGGUGGCAGAGAAGAUGGAGGACCGAGCCUGGCAGGGGAAUGAGGUGGCUUGGGAGCAUCACUUCAGGAUCUAGGGAGGCCCUGGUGGGGCCUUCUGCUCACCUCUUUGCCAGAGCUAGAAAGCCCUUCACCUCGGACAGCAUCACCCCACUGAACGUGGCCUCUGCCCCCUUCCUGGGCUUGCCAUUUGAGGAAAAACAG